rnacentral:rRNA from 1 species
AUGUACCUAUCCCACGAUGAUGCAUGGUGGACUGUUGACCGUUUCGAGGACACCCACAAUCACCCCCUGAUCAAAAAGUCGUCCCUAACAAAAUUCUUAUCAUCACAUCGGUACAUUCCGAAGGAGGAGCAGGACUUCUUGAGGGUUCUGCACGGAUGCAACGUUGAGACUGCGAGGCAGAUGCAGCUGAUGUCAUGGUUCUACGGGAGCGCUAAAGACGUACCCUAGACGACACAAGACAUUGCUAAUCAACGAGCUAAGUUCCGCUUAGAGCACCGCCACAAGGACGUUGGGAGCACAAUUGCAUACUUCCAAGAGAUGAGGGCCAAAGAUUCAUAUUUCUACUGGAGAAUCAAACUUGAUGAUGAGGACAAGGUUGAGAACUUGUUCUGGAUAGAUGGCGUGUGGCUUCGUUCGAACGAACUAAAGGAAAACUUUGUGUGGCUGUUUAACACAUUCCUCCAUGCAAUGGGUGGUGUUGCCCCUAAAAACAUCAUCACAGACCAGGACUUUGCAAUGAGGAGUGCGAUCGACGAGGUCUUCUUGAACAUAAUACACAGAAAUUGCCGCUGGCAUAUAAUGAAGAAGGAGCAGGAGAAACUUGGAAAACUUAUGGCUGAUAAUAAACCACUAAUGUACUAUAUGAAGCAUUUCUUUCCAUUCUUGCAGACAACUGCAAGGAGCGAGGGAUUCAAUGAUGUGCUCGAGAAGUACGUGAACCCCAACAACUCAUUGAUUGAAUUCGCAACUCAAUACACUGCAAUCCAGGAGAAAGUAAUGGUGGCUGUGGCAAAAGAGCAAGUGGACACAAUUUACAAAGUGGCAAACAUGUAUUCAUUGAACCCAAUCGAGUUACAGAUGCGAGGGAUAUACACACAAAAUCUGUUCUCCAAGUUCCAGGUAGAGAUGAAGCUAAAGACUGCUUAC